AGAGGGUGCAAGCGUUAAUCGGAAUUACUGGGCGUAAAGCGCGCGUAGGUGGCUUAAUAAGUCAGAUGUGAAAGCCCCGGGCUUAACCUGGGAACUGCAUCUGAUACUGUUAGGCUCGAGUAUGGGAGAGGGAAGUAGAAUUUCAGGUGUAGCGGUGAAAUGCGUAGAGAUCUGAAGGAAUACCGAUGGCGAAGGCAGCUUCCUGGCCUAAUACUGACACUGAGGUGCGAAAGCGUGGGUAGCAAACAGGAUUAGAUACCCUGGUAGUCCACGCCGUAAACGAUGUCUACUAGCCGUUGGGGCCCUUGAGGCCUUAGUGGCGCAGCUAACGCAAUAAGUAGACCGCCUGGGGAGUACGGCCGCAAGGUUAAAACUCAAAUGAAUUGACGGGGGCCCGCACAAGCGGUGGAGCAUGUGGUUUAAUUCGACGCAACGCGAAGAACCUUACCUGGUCUUGACAUCCUGCGAACUUACUAGAGAUAGUUUGGUGCCUUCGGGAACGCAGUGACAGGUGCUGCAUGGCUGUCGUCAGCUCGUGUCGUGAGAUGUUGGGUUAAGUCCCGCAACGAGCGCAACCCUUUUCCUUUGUUACCAGCGGUUCGGCCGGGCACUUUAAGGAUACUG
rnacentral:rRNA from 1 species